rnacentral:rRNA from 1 species
CCACGGGUGAGUAACACGUAUCCAACCUGCCGUCUACUCUUGGCCAGCCUUCUGAAGGAAGAUUAAUCCAGGAUGGCAUCAUGAGUUCACAUGUCCGCAUGAUUAAAGGUAUUUUCCGGUAGACGAUGGGGAUGCGUUCCAUUAGAUAGUAGGCGGGGUAACGGCCCACCUAGUCUACGAUGGAUAGGGGUUCUGAGAGGAAGGUCCCCCACAUUGGAACUGAGACACGGUCCAA